rnacentral:rRNA from 1 species
GACGAACGCUGGCGGCGUGCUUCAUACAUGCAAGUCGAACGAUAAGCUGACUUCGGUCAGUGGAAAGUGGCGGACGGGUGAGUAAUAUGUAGGAAAUCUGCCUUUAGGAGGGGGACAACAGAGGGAAACUUCUGCUAAUACCCCAUAUGAGCGUAGCUGAAAUGCUAUUCUUGAAAACUCCGGUGCCUAAAGAUGAGCCUGCAUCUGAUUAGCUAGUUGGUAGUGUAAUGGACUACCAAGGCGACGAUCAGUAGCUGGUUUGAGAGGAUGAUCAGCCACAAUGGGACUGAGACACGGCCCAUAAUCCUACGGGAGGCAGCAGUAGGGAAUUUUGCGCAAUCGGCGAAAGUCUGACGCAGCAACGCCGCGUGAAAGAUUAAGACCUUCGGGGUGUAAAGUUCUGUCAGUGGGGACGCAACUUGACGGUACCCACAGAGGAAGCACCGGCUAACUCCGUG